AUGUAUUGGUUGCCCCCUGGCUGUCAACUUAAUGAAGAUGGUGCAAGGCAUUUGUCCAAUGAUGCAGACAUAGAUCUGAUGUAUCUACAGGUCAAUCAAGAGCAUAGAUUUCAUAUCAUUUACCUUGAUCAUUUGGAUGGCCACAUUUCAGGAGGUGGAUCAGCAUGGGGUGAUGUUACGGCUAAUCCAAUAUGUCAUUUGCCUGUUGUUUUCAGUCCCAACAAGAAGCUAAUCAAUGCAGAUCAGAGCAUGGUAUCUUCUAGUGUUGUUGAGGAAAGCAAUGAAAUUCAGAGCAAUGAACAAGUGCAUGUCAGGUUGAGACCUAGAGGACAGAAGUUAGAAGAUGAGCCAGAAGAAUAUAGUGAUAGUGAUUCAGACAGUGAUUACAUACCAGAAAUUGUUGACAGUGACUACGACUUAGAGGAUGGGGAUGAUGAUUUGGCACAGGAGCAGUUGCACCCUUUGCAAGACAAGAAAGGGAAGAAAGUGAUUGAAGAGUGCAACUCUGAAGAUGAUACAUUGGAUGCUCCGGAUUCAGAUGAAGAUGAGAUAAAAUUCAAUUUCAAGUCUUUCACACCAUCAGACAUGCAUGACCCCAAGUUCCAUGUUGGGCAGUUGUUCUCAUCAGUUGAGCUCUUGAGGAAGGCUAUUAGAGAGUACACUUGCAAGGAAAGGGUGAAUAUUACAUUUCCAAAGAACGAUAAAGGGAGGCUUGGUGCAAAGUGUGAGAAGGGAUGCCCUUGGUACCUGUAUGCAUCUUGGGACAAUAGGACAAAUGCAAUCAUGGUGAAGACAUUCAAUGGUGAGCACAAUUGCGAGAAGAAGUGGCAAGUUACAGCAUUUACUGCCAGGUACAUUGCUAAAAAGUACGUCGACAAAAUCAGGGCGUUUGUGAGCGAGGAGGUUGUCAUGCCGGCUGUUGUAUUGGUCACCGUUGAGACGCGUUGCGGCAAGCCGCCGUUGGAGGUGCUGCGGUCGGAGGUGUGCCCGUUGAGACGUGUUGCAACGUUGCGGUGUGCUGCCGUUAGAGUGCAUGGACCAGCCCUUGAUUGCAUUUUCAGUCCUGGACAUUUGGUCUAUGAUUGCUAG
rnacentral:rRNA from 1 species